UUUUUUGAUUUUAAUUUUUAUUCCUUUGAUUUUCAUUAAUUCAUAUAAAUUUUAAUAUUGAUCGAAAAAAUAUGUGAGUUUCACAAAAAAAAUUCAAAUAUUUUCCUCUUUCAUAUUCUGAAUUAAAUUUAUUUUUUGGAUCAUUAUUAAUAUUUUUCAUGAUUUAAUUGAUUUUUCUGUUGUUUUUAAUUGUUUAAAAAUACUUUUAAUUUAAAUGUAUUAUUUUAGUAUUUUUAAUUUGAAUAAAUGCCAAAUAUUUUUGUUGACCAAUUAUGAUGACUUGUUGGUGUUUGACUCUUGUUCUUGGGCCUUGGUCAAGGUUGAUUUGACUUUGUCAAAUUAAUAUCAUUGGAUUUAGGGGAUUGAUGGAAUGUACAUUCCAUCUCCCAAAAUGAAUGAAUGAUAUUAAUUUGGUAAAUGUC
rnacentral:lncRNA from 1 species